AUUGAACGCUGGCGGCAUGCUUUACACAUGCAAGUCGAACGGCAGCGGGGUAGUGCUUGCACUACUGCCGGCGAGUGGCGAACGGGUGAGUAAUAUAUCGGAACGUACCGAGUAAUGGGGGAUAACCAAUCGAAAGAUUGGCUAAUACCGCAUACGUCCUGAGGGAGAAAGCGGGGGAUCGCAAGACCUCGCGUUAUUCGAGCGGCCGAUAACUGAUUAGCUAGUUGGUGGGGUAAAGGCCUACCAAGGCGACGAUCAGUAGCGGGUCUGAGAGGACGAUCCGCCACACUGGGACUGAGACACGGCCCAGACUCCUACGGGAGGCAGCAGUGGGGAAUUUUGGACAAUGGGGGCAACCCUGAUCCAGCCAUGCCGCGUGUAUGAAGAAGGCCUUCGGGUUGUAAAGUACUUUUGUUAGGGAAGAAAAGGGAAGUGCUAAUACCACUUUUUGCUGACGGUACCUAAAGAAUAAGCACCGGCUAACUACAUG
rnacentral:rRNA from 1 species